GGCUCACGGUUUCUUCGCUUGUUUGUAUGGGGAGUUCGACUGGCUCUGGCUCAGCGGUGUGUAGAUAGAGGAGGGAAGAGAUUGACUGGAGCACAAGCCCGACCUGAGACCCCCGAACUGAAGUCUCAUUCUAGAAUGUUUCAGCAUUGUUUUAGGCGACUUUCAGAAUACAUUGACAUCAUCGUGGAAGACGAGUGCCUGCAUUUUUUUUAGGAUAUGAGCUGAUUUGCUUCUCAUUCGCAUCGUUUACUAUAGCCUAAAAUUACAGCCGUGCAGUUGUUGAAUUCAUUGCGUCCCCUCGAAAGGAAAAUGUGGAUGCGUGAGAGAGGGAUAUGGAAGAAACCUAUUGAUUAGGCCUAAUAGUUCCGAACAUCAGCUCGCUAUGGAAGAGUUCGUCAGGUCCUUGGGGGCGCAUGGACAUGGAGAGGGAGAGAUACCUGCCACAAGAAACAACACGAUCUGUCCCUCGUAAGGGGAGCAUGCAUCGGAACCACGGACGUCUUUGUGUUGCCCGCUGCGUAUACCGAGUUUGAGGGUGGCCUAUAGCCUGCUGAAGGGGUAACCACUCUCUCUGUGUUACUUCGGUGCCGAACUGCAAUAUUUGUCAAUCACCAUUUAGGACUAUUCGCCCCCAAAUAUGACAAGAUGACUGGAGAGGCUUCUCCUAGAACCACGGAUCGCUGACUACUCCCAGACUCCUCUUCUUCUAUUCUAUAUCCUAAAGCCACAGUCGUUUGCUAGCAGGCACCUGAAGCGGCUUCAGUACUCGGCAACGAUGACUCCUGCAGCAUGGAGGUGUCUAGUUCUCCAUGGUCUGCUCACCCUCACUCAUCUCCAUUGUUCAGAAGGAUUCAGUCGUGCCGCUCUGCCGUUUGGCCUGGUCAGAAGAGAGCUCUCUUGCGAGGGCUACGCCAUUGAUCUCCGCUGCCCCGGUGCUGAUGUCAUCAUGAUCGAGACGGCCAACUACGGCCGCACGGACAACAAGAUCUGCGACGCCGACCCGUUCCAGAUGGAGAACAUCAACUGCUACCUCCCCGAUGCCUACAAGAUCAUAUCACAAAGGUGCAACAACCGUACCCAGUGUGUGGUUGUGACUGGCUCUGAUGUCUUCCCUGAUCCUUGUCCUGGCACUUACAAGUACCUAGAGGUCCAGUAUGAAUGUGUCCCAUAUAAAGUGGAACAAAAAGUUUUCAUUUGUCCCGGGACCCUGAAGGAGGUGGGGGAGCCCACGUUUGUGUUUGAGGUGGAGCAACAGGCGGGGGCGUGGUCUAAAGACCCCCUGCAGGCAGGAGACAAGGUCUUCUUCAUGCCCUGGACGCCGUACCGCACUGACACCCUUAUUGAGUAUGCCUCCCUGGAGGACUUAAAAAAUGGCCGCCAGACUACGACCUAUAAACUCCCACAUCGUGUUGACGGCACGGGCUUUGUGGCCUACGACGGGGCCAUCUUCUUUAACAAGGAGCGCACGCGCAACAUUGUGAAAUUUGAUCUCCGCACGCGCAUCAAGAGUGGUGAGGCCAUUGUUGCCAACGCCAACUAUCACGACACCUCGCCGUACCGCUGGGGCGGCAAGACGGACAUAGACCUCGGUGUCGACGAGCGGGGGUUGUGGGUGAUCUACGCAACGGAGCAAAACAACGGACGAAUCGUAAUCUCACAGCUCAACCCUUACACGCUCCGCUUCGAGGCCACCUGGGAGACGGCGUACGACAAGAGAUCCGCCUCCAAUGCCUUCAUGGUGUGUGGCGUGCUGCACGUGGUGCGGUCCACCUACGAGGAGAACGAGAGCGAGACGGCCAAGAGCCACAUCGACUACAUCUACAACACCAAGCUAAGCCAGGGAGAGUACACGGACAUCCUGUUCCCCAACCAGUACCAGUACAUCGCUGCUGUGGAUUACAACCCCAGAGAUAACCAGCUGUACGUGUGGAAUAACUUUUACAUCCUGCGCUACGACCUGGAGUAUGACGCUGAGAAAGACCCUGCUGACGUGCCAACUAUAGAAGACGUCUCCCUCUCCUCGGCCCUGCCUGAGACCACCACUAUCAUCACCACCACCAUGGUCAUAGUCAAGGUCCCAGUUAACACCACAGUUCCAGCAGACCCCAGGGAUGGGAGAGAGAGAGAGGCGGGUAAACCAGCGGAGGACCCCCAUGGUACAGCUGACCCCACCACCCCAGAGAUCCCUCCCACCCCCAGGCGCUUCUGUGAGGGAGGGAUGAUGAGGGGUAUCUCCUGGCCCCAGACACACACUGGAGCCACAGUGGAAAGGCCCUGCCCCAAAGGAACCAGAGGCAUCGCCUCCUACCUCUGCACGGUAGCAGGGGGGACCUGGAACCCAAAGGGACCCGACCUCAGUAACUGUACCUCCCACUGGGUCGCUCAAGUGGCACAAAAGAUCCGUAGUGGGGAGAACGCGGCUAACCUAGCCAAUGAACUGGCCCACCACACACAGGGCCCGGUGUUCGCCGGUGACGUCAGCUCAUCAGUGCGUCUCAUGGAGCAGCUGGUUGACAUCCUGGAUGCUCAGCUCCAGGAGCUACGGCCUAGCGAAAAGGACUCGGCUGGGCGGAGCUUCAACAAGCUUCAAAAGAGAGAGAGGACAUGCAGGGCAUAUAUGAAGGCCAUUGUGGAUACGGUUGACAACCUCCUGAGGCCGGAAGCCCUGAAGUCCUGGGAAGACAUGAAUUCCACGGAGCAAACGCACGCCGCCACCAUGUUACUGGAUACCCUGGAGGAAGGAGCCUUCGUCCUUGCCGACAACCUGAUUGAGCCCGCUGUAGUCAAAGUGCCUGCAGACAAUAUCAUGCUGGAUGUGUAUGUGCUCAGUACAGACGGCCAGGUGCAGGACUUCAGGUUCCCCCAGACCAGCAAGGGUGGAGCCUCCAUUCAGCUGUCUGCAAACACAGUCAAAGUUAACAGUAAAAACGGUGUGGCUAAGCUGGUGUUUGUCCUCUACAAGCACCUGGGCCAGUUCCUCAGUACAGAGAACGCCACGCUCCGAGGGGGAGGACGUAACCUCUCAGACCUGACCGUCAACUCGCACAUCCUGGCCGCCUCCAUCACCAAGGAGUCCAGCCGUGUGUUCGUGUCUGACCCCGUCAUCUUCACCCUGGAGCACCUCGACAAGGAGCACUACGACAACCCCAACUGCUCAUUCUGGAACUACUCUGAGAGGAGUAUGAUAGGCUACUGGUCCACUCAGGGCUGUAAGCUCCUGGACACCAACAAGAGCCACACCACCUGUUCCUGUAGUCACCUGACCAACUUUGCCAUCCUAAUGGCCCAUAGAGGGAACGUGGCAGAGGGGAGUGUCCAUGAGCUGCUGCUGACGGUGAUAACCCGGAUGGGAAUCGCUGUGUCGCUGGUGUGUCUGGCCAUCAGCCUCUUCACCUUCUGCUUCUUCAGGGGCCUUCAGAGUGACCGCAACACCAUCCACAAGAACCUCUGCCUCAACCUUUUCAUUGCUGAGCUGGUCUUUCUUGUGGGCAUCAAUAUGACUGAACCCAAGCUGGUGUGUUCCAUCAUUGCGGUCGUUCUUCAUUUCUUCUUCCUCGCGGCGUUUGCCUGGAUGUGCCUGGAGGGCGUGCAGCUCUACCUCAUGCUGGUUGAGGUGUUUGAGAGUGAGUUCUCCCGCAGGAAGUACUAUUACGCCUCAGGAUACCUCUUUCCCGCUGUGGUGGUGGGAAUCUCGGCCGCCAUCGACUACCGCAGCUACGGGACACCGAGAGCCUGCUGGCUGAGGGUGGAUAACCACUUCAUUUGGAGCUUCAUAGGACCUGUCACCUUCAUUAUCAUGCUCAAUCUCAUCUUCCUGGUGGUGACCAUGUACAAGAUGGUGAAGCACUCCACUUCUAUGAAACCCGACUCGACCCGGCUGGGCGGUAUCAGAUCCUGGGUGCUCGGAGCUUUCGCCCUGCUCUUUCUCCUGGGCCUGACCUGGUCCUUUGGUCUGUUCUUCCUCAACGAGUCCUCCGUUGUCAUGGCGUACCUCUUCACCAUCUUCAACACUCUGCAAGGGAUGUUCAUCUUUAUCUUUCACUGCCUCCUCCAGAAAAAGGUCCGUAAAGAGUACAGCAAAUGCUUCCGCCAGUCCCAGUGCUGCGGAGGUCUGCCUUCUGAAGGGUCCCACAGCUCGGCCAAGACGGCCACGUCUCGAUCCACCGCACGCUACUCCUCCGCCACACAGGUACAGUACAUACUAGAGUCGUAUCAGGAGGAUGUGGAACGACACAGUGAGGAAGCAGUCAGAAUCCUCCUUCAUCUCCGGAGACAUCAACAGCACCUCCACCCUGAACCACCAGGGAAUGACUGGCAACUACCUCCUAACUAACCCUCUGCUCCGAGCCCACGACCCUAACAACCCCUAUAACAACCUGCUGGCUGAGACGGUGGUGUGCAACGCCCCCUCCCCUCCGGCAUUUCACCCACCAGCAGUUCUUAGGCCAGAUAGCCUGAGCAGACACACUUGAUGUGAGUGGUGGCAAAGGCAGCACUCUCUGACCCACAGCAAGGACAUCAGUGCCAUGGACACCCUCCCCCUCAACGGAAACUUUAACAACUGCUACUCCCUGCGUGACCAUGACGAUGACUAUGAGGACGUUGUGGGCGGGGGUGUGGUCGGGGGUGUGGUCUGCGGCCCAGGGGACCUGGGGGGCCUCAGCCUGGACGACGCUGCCUUCGAGAAGAUGAUCAUCUCUGAGCUGGUUCACAACAACUUGAGGCCCCGCGGGCCCCCUAAGGGCCACAACCCCCACCGGGAUAGCAGGGAGAGGGACAGGGACCGGGCCCCUCCCCAAACCAGGGUGACUGGGGACAGGGAUAGGGAUGGUGGGGGUGGAAGCGGCAGCGGCAGCGAGGAUGAUGCCAUAGUGAACGACCGUGCUGAGGCUUCGUCCCCCCAGAGAGGUAGUAUAGUUGGGGUAAUUGGAGGAGGUCACCCUACCCUGGAGUUGCUGCUGCACCCCCACCAUAAGGAGGUGUUAGAGGCCCCCCUCCUACCCCAGAGGACUCACUCCCUGCUCUACAGCGCCCACAAGGCCCCCAGGAGGGCUGUGGAGGGGCCUGGGGGCCACGGCUCAAAGACAGUGGGGGCGAUGGAGGACGGGGACUCCCAGUACACCAGCAUGCCCAACCUGAGAGACUCCCCCUCGGCUUCACCCUACCCCCCCGAUGAAGCCGACGACCUGUCCCCUUCCCCCAGGAGUGAGGGGGAGGACCUGUACCAUAAGAGCAUGCCUGAGCUGGUCGAUGGGCCCCAGCCCCUGUCUUACUACCACAUACACCGGGGCACCAGCGAUGGGUGCAUUGUGCCCCCCAGCGCUGAGGACUGUGAACCUGAGGGACAGGGCCCCCAGGAUGGACAGAUGCAGCUCAUUACCAGCCUCUGAGCAGGUGGAUGGAGGAAGGAGAGGAAGCACCUCUCUGGUGUUUUUGCACAGGUUUGAACAUAUGUAUGUGUGUGUGGGCUUUGGUUGAUGUCAAGACUAUUGCCAGCCCUCACCGGUCCUCCUCCUGGUCCUCCUCUGCACUCCCAAUGACCCGUCAGAGCAAGAAGUGAAAUGUUUGUGGCUGGUAGGUAGGAGAUGGAUGGCUUAUUCACACAUACACUCGGUCACAUACAAAUGUCCUUUGGACAAGAACUGCUCCGCUCUGCUGUGGGACUACAGAGAAGGAAAUGCACAGACUACUCAAUGUGUCAGAGAGUAGUCUGUCUGGCGCCAUCCCUGUCUGUCUGGCGCCAUCCCUGUCUGUCUGGCGCCAUCCCUGUCCAGCUUGCAUUUGUAUUAUAUGGAAGAAGAAAAUAAAUAUGGUUUCAAACUCCAGGUUUAGAACUUUAGGAACACUGGGGAAGUCUUCCUGGAGGGGUUUCCAGUAUGAGGAUCUGUUGAGUCAUUCCACUCCAGAACCUAGAGUCAUUUCACUCCACAUUGAGGAAUGUCAAAUGAAGAACCACUAAUUCAGACUCAGGCAUUAUAUUUUCUCUAUUGCACAUUUAACUGUUGUCAGAGUAACAGCUAAAUAAAAUAUAUUUUGCUGUACUACAGUGUAACAAAAAAAAAAAGAUGUUGUGGCAACCAAUUAUACAACCUUUCAAUGUUGAGGAGAUUGUCCUCAAAACAGGUUGCUCAAACGGUGCAAAUGUCUUUUUUCCUCUCACUUGACACGUUGUAGUAUGUUUGAACAUAAAAUAUAUAUACUUUUUUGAAAAUCUCAUAAGAAACAAUACUCACAUCUCCGCUUGUGAAGUGCUUUUUGCUUUCAUGAAUGAAGAGUUUUGGCAGUAAUAUUUGUUGUUAACACCAUGCCAUGCACAGAUUUGGAGUGAAUUGGAUCCUUGUGUAAUUUAUUUCACUUGAAAGAAAAUAAAAACAUUUGUGUCAAUGCGAUAUUUCAAGCAUAUUACGAGCAUAUUUUCGCCUUUGACAUUAAUUUAUUAACAGAAUUAUUGAAAAUUUGAAAAAUAAAAAUGUUUGGGUAGUGCGACUUUCAGCACGGUUUAGAUUAAGUUCAUUUAUUUUGUAAGUGCCCAUUGUCAGCUGAUAUAAAAAUUCAACUCUUGUUUGAUAUCAAAUAAAUGUGAGAUUUUUUCUUGUUUGCAAUGGC